rnacentral:lncRNA from 1 species
AGAAGAGACAAAUCCCAGGAAUAAUAUUCUAUUGUUUUCAGAUACUCACUUUGAACAUCCUUUAUCCAGAUUAGAAGGAUUAUUUUUAAGCUCAUGGAAUAUAAAACCUCUCCAGACAAUGCAAUUUCGUCUCCAAGAUGUUUCAUAACGAACUCCUUUGGAAAGGAAAAAAUAUCCAGCACAUCAGCAUUUUUCAGUCACAUAAGGAUUUGA